AAAAUCUGAAUGAACUUUUUGG
rnacentral:miRNA from 1 species